CAUUCGUACUCUCAUUUAUUUGGCUCUGAUUUCCUUCCAGCUUCCGUUUUGGGCCCAGUCUUGUGAGUCUUUCCAAAUUACAGUUGGCAUACAAAUGAAGACAUGAAAUGUCCGGGCAGGGCAUGGCGACAGCUGUUGCUGAGUGUGGGACCCCCAGAUGAUUGAUGGGCAAGAUGAUGGGUGGAAGCUCUCAGGUAUAAGGAUGCUCCUCUCCCUCUGCCCAGUCCAUACUCCCACUCCACAGUCUCGAUGCUCGGCUUUCAAUGGGAAUUCAAUGAAAUGUUUUAUUAUUAACAAAGACAUGAAUGCCCUCUCCGCUCCGCAGUCUCCUAAUC
rnacentral:lncRNA from 1 species